rnacentral:rRNA from 1 species
GAUCCUGGCUCGAGGACGAACGCUGGCGGCGUGCUUAACACAUGCAAGUUGAACGGUAUGACAUGGAAGCUUGCUGAAGUGUCAUAUAGUAGCGGACGGGUGAGUAAUGCAUGAGAAGCUGCCAUUGGGAGGGGGACAACAGUUGGAAACGGCUGCUAAUACCCCGUAUGCCGGAGGGUGAAAGGGAGUAAUCCGCCCGAUGAGGUGCUCAUGUCCUAUCAGCUGGUUGGUGGGGUAACGGCCUACCAAGGCGACGACGGGUAGCCGGCCUGAGAGGUGAACGGCCACACUGGAACUGAGAUACGGUCCAGACCUCCUACGGGAGGCAGCAGGUGGGGAAUAGUUGGGCAAAGUGGGGGCCAACCUCGACCCAGCGACGCCGCGUGGGGGAAGACGGCCUUCGGGUUGUAAACCUCUUUUGUACGGGAAGAAGGAAGUGACGGUACUGUACGAAUAAGUCCCGGCUAACUACGUGCCAGCCGCUGC